GACGAACCGUCCAAACGUUAUUCGGAAUCACUGGGCUUACAGAGUUCGUAGGCGGUCUAGAAAGUUGGGUGUGAAAUCCCUCGGCUCAACCGAGGAACUGCGCUCAAAACUACUCGACUCGAGGGAGAUAGAGGAAAGCGGAACUGAUGGUGGAGCGGUGAAAUGCGUUGAUAUCAUCAGGAACACCGGUGGCGAAGGCGGCUUUCUGGGUCUUACCUGACGCUGAGGAACGAAAGCUAGGGGAGCGAACGGG
rnacentral:rRNA from 1 species